UGAUGAGCAGCAGCGAACUUCAACUUCGCACACAUCUCCAAUCUCUCCCAUACACUCCUCAUCAAGCGAGGGUUUUGCGCGAAGUCAUCUUGCUGUCCAAGGGAUGCGGACGAGACAUCACGGAUCCUACCGUGUUGCGUGUUUAUGCCGAACAUGUUUGUGACAUUGGAGAAUAUCAGGUGCACCCGAUUCAGCUGCUCUGCAUGCCAGAAUCUGAACGGUCGAUCUCGGCUUGCAUUGUGACUCAGAAAAGGUACGUGACCACUGCUUUAGAUUAUUCCGGGGUUGUUCCUGUCUUCGUCUUUUAUUAUUUAUCUUCAUCUUCUUCGUUGUCUUCAUCUUCUCAAUAAAUAGGUUUUAUUCAGUAGCCAACUGUUGCAUUAAUGCAUGCCACCAUCUCUAGAAUAUGGCUGUAGAUUUCUUCUGAAGAAGGGAAAUAUUGAUGUGACACACCACACAACUGCAGUCUUUUGAAGCGUUAGCGGCCUCCGCCACGGCCAUUUUAGAUAUAUAAAGUUAAUAACGA
ensembl:lncRNA